rnacentral:rRNA from 1 species
UACGGGGGGGGCAAGCGUUGUUCGGAAUUACUGGGCGUAAAGGGCUCGUAGGCGGCCAACUAAGUCAGACGUGAAAUCCCUCGGCUUAACCGGGGAACUGCAUCUGAUACUGGAUGGCUUGAGUUCGGGAGAGGGAUGCGGAAUUCCAGGUGUAGCGGUGAAAUGCGUAGAUAUCUGGAGGAACACCGGUGGCGAAGGCGGCAUCCUGGACCGGCACUGACGCUGAGGAGCGAAAGCCAGGGGAGCAAACAGG